GACGAACGCUGGCGGCGUGCUUAACACAUGCAAGUCGAACGGAAAGGCCCGGCGUUUGUGGGGUGCUCGAGUGGCGAACGGGGGAGUAACACGUGAGGAACCUGCCCUUGACUUUGGGAUAACUUCAGGAAACUGGGGCGAAUAUCGGAUAGGAGCUCCUGCUGCAUGGUGGGGGUUGGAGAGUUUCGGCGGUUGGGGAUGGACUCGCGGCUUAUCAGCUUGUUGGUGGGGUAGUGGCUUACCAAGGCUUUGACGGGUAGCCGGCCUGAGAGGGUGACCGGCCACAUUGGGACUGAGAUACGGCCCAGACUCCUACGGGAGGCAGCAGUGGGGAAUAUGGCACAAUGGGCGGAAGCCUGAUGCGGCAACGCCGCGUGCGGGAUGACGGCCUUCGGGUUGUAAACCGCUGUCGCCUGUGACGAAGCGUGAGUGACGGUAAUGGGUAAAGAAGCACCGGCUAACUACGUG
rnacentral:rRNA from 1 species